AGAGUUUGAUCCUGGCUCAGAUUGAACGCUAGCGGGAUGCUUUACACAUGCAAGUCGGACGGCAGCACGGACUUCGGUCUGGUGGCGAGUGGCGAACGGGUGAGUAAUGUAUCGGAACGUGCCUAGUAGCGGGGGAUAACUACGCGAAAGCGUGGCUAAUACCGCAUACGCCCUGAGGGGGAAAGGGGGGGAUCGCAAGACCUCCCACUAUUAGAGCGGCCGAUAUCGGGUUAGCUAGUUGGUGAGGUAACGGCUCACCAAGGCUGUGAUCCGUAGCUGGUUUGAGAGGACGACCAGCCACACUGGGACUGAGACACGGCCCAGACUCCUACGGGAGGCAGCAGUGGGGAAUUUUGGACAAUGGGGGCAACCCUGAUCCAGCCAUCCCGCGUGUGCGAUGAAGGCCUUCGGGUUGUAAAGCACUUUUGGCAGGGAAGAAACGGCCACGGGG
rnacentral:rRNA from 1 species